GGGUAACAGUGAUUUCAAGAAAAUAAAUCUGAUACUGUAUUCAAAGCUCAGCAUUUGAUUAUUUACCGACACACAAGCUCACAAUCUUCCCCCAGGCCAUUGCUUGACCCUUGCCCUCCCUCCCUCUGUCACCCACCCACUGUUAGUACAGAGACGACUCCCCAGCCUGACAAGAUUAACUAAAUCCGAAUGAGAUUUGCAUUCAAACAGAGCCCAGACGCUGAAAAGAUGAACUCAUGCUGUUUUUUGAGACACCUUAUCUGUGGCUUGUUUACAUUUGGAGCAGGUUCAUUUACAAGUGUUUGAUUGAAUUUUGUUUAAAUGUUCCCAGAGUUCAAUUUAAAUAAGCACACUGUAAAAUUCAGCGUAACUUCACUCUACAGAAGCUGAAAAACAGGGAUAAACCUGACAGAAGGCUGUUUUGCCACUGGGAUGCUACCUGGAGGUCAGGAGGCCAGAUUCUGCCUCUUCCUCCACCAUCACUUUGGCGUGUCGCCCAGUUUAGAAGCAGCUGCCAUCCUCUGCUACACACACACACACAUGCGGAUAUAUCCCAAAUACACACACACUCACUACUUGCUCUGCUUUCCCUACAGUUCAGGUAACAGCUACUUGGACUUGGCAGCUGCUGCUUUCACUCAGCGCAGAGCCGAGCGACCACGAGGGGAGGGAGGGCCGAGCGAGGAGGUGAGGACAAGAGGCGGGCCGGGGGGAGACAUGAGGACAAGAGGGAGGCGAUAAGAUGACUGAGGGGCAUGAAGAGAACUGCAGCAUGCUAACGGAGUCAUAAAGAGUAAGUGUUAGAAGAGUUGUUUCCUGCUGGAGUCACACUGGGUACAUUCACAUGAAUAAAAAGUAUUUAAUGCUUAAUUACUAUCAAAGAAACCGUUAUACAAACCUAUAUACACACUCCAUCUGUCAGCAUUCAUUUCAAGUCCAUACAAGUCUAAACAUGUUCAUCUACGGUUCAUGAAAUUAUUAAAUAACCAGUCUGACAAGGUUGUAAAACAUUGAAAAGCAUUACACAGUUUUAAAAUAGCAUCUGACUCUAAUUGUUCCCACAGCUCUUGAACGCCCGCCAUUCAUAACCUGAGGCUUAAAAAUGUGGUCUGAGCCAGUUUAUGGAGUACGGUAUGUGGUACUCAUGUGACCUGGCUUGGCUGUGGUUCUAAGAGCCGUGCUCUCUUAAUUGAACAGACCGUACAAUUAUUCUCUGGUGGCAUUUUUUCCUCUUAUGGUAAAUUUAUGUUACAGUUCCUCAAUCAGUCCUCAGCUGUUUGGUUGAUUCUGGUGUAAAAAUCAUCAAUCUUGUCGCUGAUUGUCUCGUUCGCUUCUGUACAUCGUAAAAAUUAAUAAAUAUAAAUUUCAGUUAAUUUUUAAAAAGUCAAAAAUUCCUCACAGAGGCUUUAACUACUUAUGUAAUUUGGUAAAGUCAACCAGGAUGUAUUAAACAGGGUAACCUAGCGUGCGUUAAAGCUUUCUUUAAUCCUGUAUAUCUUGACUAUCACUCACUCAACGUCUUGUAUGUCUAAGAACAUGUUUAUAGAGCUUACAUUUUUAUGUAAACACAAAAAUCUAGUAUCAGACAAACGCAGAUUCAUCUAACGUGUGGAACAGUUUUCCAACUUGUCCUUAAAUCAACUCAGUCUUGCGAUUUUAGACUAAGACAAUCCACCGUCUUAUUCAUAAGACUAGGUUGUGGCCCACAUAAUUGGUAAAUCAUUAAUGUUAUCUAGUUUCAGUUUUGGCCUUUAUACUGUAGACAGGCACUACUUGUGCAACAUAAAAGUAAACCAAUAAUAUUUUACAGUGACAUUUCUCAGUUAAGGCAACGAGCCUCUUAACUUGGAUCACAUCAGGAAUUCAUCUCCAGUGAGUCUCAGCGACAGUCAAGAAACCUGUAAAGGAAAGGUAAACUGGGUUUGGAGGGACAGAGACAGAGAGGGACAUGAACAGGGCAGUCUGUGUUGGUGACAAGGAGACCUCUCCCAGCCCACAGAAGGUGGAGUGGAGAAACUUGGCAGAGACCCAGGAGUGAGCUCAGAGUCCAGGCUGAAAAGUCGACACCAAAGAACUUGACCUGUUUAAACUGUGAGUACAGGGAGGUGGCUCUGUCUUCCGGGGUCAUUAUUUUACUCUGCAUGCCCUGAUCUCAAACUUUCUCCUCCAUAUUUGAUAAAAUAAACAACCACCUGUCACAGUUCCCUAUGAGCAAGGCAGACAUGUGAGGUUCUCAGGUGAAUUUGAACAAACUUUAAAAGUCUCAAACCACUGUCACUACUCUGGUAUAUCAUCCACGCUCACAGCAACACUGUUCAGAGGCAGAGGCAAAAAGGACGUUGUUUGGUUUUAAGUUUUGGUCCUUAAAUAACGAAAUAUUUGGAACAAAUUUAGACGCAUAGACCCGGCUAUUACCCCAAAGUAAAUUUAGCAGAUCACCAAAACUAACAGAAGAAGAGUGGAGUGUGAUUUGAGUGAAAGGAUUAAAGUCAUAUUUAAACAGAACAGAGGAAACACGCCUGUGAGCAUGGCUAAUAACACACACAUGUACUCUGUAUAUCUGUGUGUGUGUGUGUGUGUGUGUGUGUGUGUGUGUGUGUGUGUGUGCAGACUCGCCUGUAAUGACUGAACAAAGUACAACAGCUGGGCUCUUAUUUCAGGCACUAACUAGAGGGGUGAGAGUGUGUGCGUGUGUGAAAGGGAGAAUGUGAUUCAACAGGCCGGCUGGCACCCGGUCCCUGGCAGCACGUCAGUGAUGAGUCACUGGGUAUGAGUGGUAGUCAUAGCAACAGGAAAGAUCUGAACAUUUUGGCCACCGGCUGGGGAAAAGUUGUUUCCUAGGACAGACAAGCAAAAUAAAUAAUGAGGUUUUGUUGUAUUUUUAAACAUCAUACAUUGUUCUGCAGCUCUGAGGCUUCAAAUGACAAAAAUGUAUAUCUUUUCUAUCUUUCAGGUACAACAGCACCGAUUUCAGACACCGUUUUUUGGAGGAGGACGCUCUGCUUCAUCUCAAAGCUGCUGGAUGAGGUCGAGGUCCAGCAAGUUCUCCAAAAUGUGAAAACCGUCUCUUCCCUGACGCGUCUUGGUGCAUCGGGAUGUUUGUUACUUCAUCAAAACUAGAAAACUAUUAACCCAACAUUUGGAGCAUCUGAUCCAAGUUUUCUUCUGCACAUGUCAAGCCAAAUUUGUAUGUUUUUAACCCCAACCAAACUUAAAUAUGCUUUUUUUUUCACUUGAACUGAAGUUUCUUCUAUUAUAGGAUGAUUUUAUGCUUUGUCUGUUGUAUUUUGUCAUCUAUGUGAAGCACUUUUGUACCCAUAAAUAUCACAUACAGUUCAUGCUGAUCCAGGAGUUGGGUCUCCUAAUUUUGAUGCUCCAGAGUCUUUUGUAUCUGCCGGUUUCAAGGAACAAUUUAGUGUCCAUGUGGGCGCAGAAUAAAAAAGAAAUUACGCUCUGCCCGACGCCAACAUUCAGAAGAUCCAACAGCUCUGGCAUUCAUGCGCAUACAGGCAGAGUUACACUUCAUCAAAAUGUUAAUGUUGGAACAUUGUAUGCAAUUACAAUCUGAGCCCAGGCAGGAAACAGUUAAUGCAAAUCAAGCGAAUUAGCAACACAGAGCAGCUCCACAUAUCCUGUCGCCUGCAGCCCCUCGCUCCACACUUGCAAACACCCGGUUCACACUUGGGAACAAAGAAACCCCAUUUGGUGUUUUGGAAAGCACUUGCAUUUGUUUCACUGCCCGGGUGUUAGAAUUAAAAAAAAAAAAGAUGAUAAUCUCAUGAAUAUCACUACCUCCAGGGAAGGUGGCUGCUUGGUUACAUGUUAGCUCCUACUUUAGAGGGGGCCAAAUAUUUGGUUCACCUACCUCUGGCUGUGAUUGUAUCUCCCAGCUGGUGGGGGAAGGAGGAGGGGUGUCUCUAUUUUUGAACUGCCUCUUUCUAAGGCUGCUGCUAUUUUAUGAAUCAGUAAAGCUUGUUGAAAUAUUGUCUUGGUUCUGUAUGAAGAAUAAACCUAUUUUUAUGUUUCUAAUGAUCAGGUGUGAUAUUCUCCACUCUACUUUCGAGUUGCGUCAGAGAUCAAGUCAUAAUGAAACUGAAAAUUGUCAAUAUAUGGACCGAUUAUGAGCAGUGGGUGAAAUACCAAGGUCCUGUUUUCUUAAAGUGAACUAAUGCAGGCUGGGAGAACACCAGUUUGUCUAUGUGCAGGCUUUCUGAAUAUUCCAUAGGUGGAGUCUUGGUGUAAAUAAUUUACUCUAAAUACAUGAAGAGUGUACUUGCUAUGGCCUUUUCUAGGUCGGCAAAACUAGUACUGUCAUAAAUAAUUUAUUUUAAGUAUAUAAAUAGGAGUCAACACGAUUCCAUCAGGACUCAAUGGCAAUAAACUUCAUUUUCGGUUAAAAAUAAUAAAUUUUUCUG